GGAGUGGGCUGCGGCACCGCGACAAUGCCACAUGGUUCGGCUGGGUUCUGGGCCUGGAAAGGUAACCCAGUGGGCAUGGCCUUUGGCUGGGCUGCUGCAUGCAUACGAUUCGUCACUUGCCGCCGCUGUCACGACUCGACUAGCGAGGCACCGCUGGCUGAGGAAGUUGCUUUUCCCUUCUUUUCGUGUGCCUCAGCAAGCAGUCACCUCUUUUUUUUUUUCCAAAUACUAGGUACAAAUCUAAAUGGAGCAGCGACGGUUUUGGCCUGUCCGAGGAGGAGCGAGGACUCGAGCGACAGUCGAGCCUUACUCAGAUUGUCUCCCGCAAAAGACCUCACAGCCACCGAGGAUGAAUGCGUGACAAAUGCCGAGGAGGAGUCCGCGCGCGCCAGACUGUCCAGAGGAGAGACGUCGAGGCUGUAGAAGAACCGGUGGAUCUUGUUCUCGACGGCGUGCUCAUCCUUUCGGCGGCAUGCUCGUCAUCCCAGUGGCGUGAUCAUCCUCCCGGCGGCCGGUGUGCUAUGCUUGUCUUCCUGGCGGCGUGCUCCUCCCUCCUCCCGGUGGCGUGGUCUCCUGACGGCGUGCUCGUUCAGAAAAUUUCUUCGGGGCCAACAAGCUGCGAGGGAACGAGUUUUUGUUGUCCAGCUCAUUCAGAAAAUUUCUACGGGGUCAAAUGUUGCAUGCUACGAGCUUGUUGCACGACACUCGGAAGGUGUUUGAUGAAACGCUCAAGCCAACACCAUUCCGAUUUUCCAAUUUUUUUGUAAUUUCUAAUCCAUGCCCGGUAUACUGAGACUCAGUGAAGCAAAUCAUUUAUUUAAUUUCUAAUUUGUGUGGUACGUUACUUUACCUUAUAAAUAUACGUUAUUUUUUCAUGAUAUUUA